rnacentral:rRNA from 1 species
UACGAAGGGGGCUAGCGUUGCUCGGAAUCACUGGGCGUAAAGCGCACGUAGGCGGACUCUUAAGUCAGGGGUGAAAUCCUGGAGCUCAACUCCAGAACUGCCUUUGAUACUGGGAGUCUUGAGUUCGGGAGAGGUGAGUGGAACUGCGAGUGUAGAGGUGAAAUUCGUAGAUAUUCGCAAGAACACCAGUGGCGAAGGCGGCUCACUGGCCCGAUACUGACGCUGAGGUGCGAAAGCGUGGG